GUGCCAGCAGCCGCGGUAAGACGAACCGUGCGAACGUUAUUCGGAAUCACUGGGCUUAAAGCGCGCGUAGGCGGGUGGGAGCGUCGGCCACUGAAAGCCCCCGGCUCAACCGGGGAAGGGGUGCCGAGACGUCCCGCCUGGAGGGGCGUAGGGGGACCCGGAACUUCCGGUGGAGCGGUGAAAUGCGUUGAGAUCGGAAGGAACGCCCGUGGCGAAAGCGGGGUCCUGGACGCCAACUGACGCUGAGGCGCGAAAGCCAGGGGAGCGAACGGGAUUAGAUACCCCAGUAGUCC
rnacentral:rRNA from 1 species